CUGUGGAUUAAAGGUGGCUUUUGGGCUGUCGCAGAUGGAUGAGCCUGCGUUGGAUUAGCUAGUUGGUGAGGUAAGGGCCUACCAAGGCUACGAUCCAUAGCUGAUUUGAGAGGAUGAUCAGCCACAUUGGGACUGAGACACGGCCCAAACUCCUACGGGAGGCAGCAGUGAGGAAUAUUGGACAAUGGGGGCAACCCUGAUCCAGCAAUGCCAUGUGUGUGAAGAAGGCCUUAGGGUUGUAAAGCACUUUAGUUGGGGAAGAAAGCUUUGAGGUUAAUAGCCUUGAGGAAAAGGACGUUACCCAAAGAAUAAGCACCGGCUAACUCCGUGCCAGCAGCCGCGGUAAUACGGGGGGUGCAAGCGUUAAUCGGAAUUACUGGGCGUAAAGGGUCUGUAGGUGGUUUGUUAAGUCAGAUGUGAAAGCCUAGGGCUCAACCUUGGAACUGCAUUUGAUACUGGUAAACUAGAGUACGGUAGAGGAAUGGGGAAUUUCUGGUGUAGCGGUGAAAUGCGUAGAGAUCAGAAGGAACACCAAUGGCGAAGGCAACAUUCUGGACCGAUACUGACACUGAGGGACGAAAGCGUGGGGAUCAAACAGGAUUAGAUACCCUGGUAGUCCACGCUGUAAACGAUGAGUACUAGCUGUUGGAGUCGGUGUAAAGGCUCUAGUGGCGCAGCUAACGCGAUAAGUACUCCGCCUGGGGACUACGGCCGCAAGGCUAAAACUCAAAGGAAUUGACGGGGACCCGCACAAGCGGUGGAGCAUGUGGUUUAAUUCGAUGCAACGCGAAGAACCUUACCUGGUCUUGACAUCCUGCGAUCUUUCUAGAGAUAGAUUGGUGCCUUCGGGAACGCAGUGACAGGUGCUGCACGGCUGUCGUCAGCUCGUGUUGUGAAAUGUUGGGUUAAGUCCCGCAACGAGCGCAACCCCUAUUGAUAGUUACCAUCAUUAAGUUGGGUACUCUAUUGAGACUGCCGCUGACA
rnacentral:rRNA from 1 species